AUUGAACGCUGGCGGCAGGCCUAACACAUGCAAGUCGAGCGGAUGACGGGAGCUUGCUCCUUGAUUCAGCGGCGGACGGGUGAGUAAUGCCUAGGAACCUGCCUGGUAGUGGGGGACAACGUUUCGAAAGGAACGCUAAUACCGCAUACGUCCUACGGGAGAAAGCAGGGGACCUUCGGGCCUUGCGCUAUCAGAUGAGCCUAGGUCGGAUUAGCUAGUAGGUGAGGUAAUGGCUCACCUAGGCGACGAUCCGUAACUGGUCUGAGAGGAUGAUCAGUCACACUGGAACUGAGACACGGUCCAGACUCCUACGGGAGGCAGCAGUGGGGAAUAUUGGACAAUGGGCGAAAGCCUGAUCCAGCCAUGCCGCGUGUGUGAAGAAGGUCUUCGGAUUGUAAAGCACUCUAAGUUGGGAGGAAGGGCAGUAAGCUAAUACCUUGCUGUUUUGACGUUACCGACAGAAUAAGCACCGGCUAACUCUGUGCCAGCAGCCGCCGUAAUAC
rnacentral:rRNA from 1 species